GAUGAACGCUGGCGGCGUGCUUAACACAUGCAAGUCGAACGAAGCACUUUAUUUGAUUUCCUUCGGGACUGAUUAUUUUGUGACUGAGUGGCGGACGGGUGAGUAACGCGUGGGUAACCUGCCUUGUACAGGGGGAUAACAGUUGGAAACGGCUGCUAAUACCGCAUAAGCGCACAGCAUCGCAUGAUGCAGUGUGAAAAACUCCGGUGGUAUAAGAUGGACCCGCGUUGGAUUAGCCAGUUGGUGAGGUAACGGCCCACCAAGGCGACGAGCCAUCGCCGGCCUCAGGGGGUGUCCGGCAACAUUGGGACUGCGACGCGGCCGAAACUCCUACGGGAGGCAGCAGUGGGGAAUAUUGCACAAUGGGCGAGAGCCUGAUGCAGCGACGCCACGUGAGCGAAGAAGUCUUUCGGUAUGUAAAGCUCUAUCAGCAGGGAAUAUUAUGACGGUACCUGACUAAGAAGCACCGGCUAAAUACGUG
rnacentral:rRNA from 1 species